GUUUGAUCCUGGCUCAGAGCGAACGUUAGCGGCAGGCUUAACACAUGCAAGUCGAGCGACAAAGGGGCUUCGGCCCUGAGUAGAGCGGCGGACGGGUGCGUAACACGUGGAUAAUCUGCCUCGUGGCGGGGGAUAACAGUCCGAAAGGACUGCUAAUACCGCAUGUCAGGUCGGAAACCCCGGUUUCUGACGAAAAAGAGGGCGCCCGCAAGGGGCUCUCACCACGAGAUGAGUCCGCGGCCCAUCAGCUAGUUGGCGGUGUAAUAGACCACCAAGGCUAAGACGGGUAGCUGGUCUGAGAGGAUGACCAGCCACACUGGGACUGAGACACGGCCCAGACUCCUACGGGAGGCAGCAGUGGGGAAUAUUGGACAAUGGGCGAAAGCCUGAUCCAGCCAUGCCGCGUGAGUGAUG
rnacentral:rRNA from 1 species